CACUGUUGCCUGUGGAUACAGGUGUGCCUUCAUACUGAUGUGCCUUUCAUAUAAAUUUUUAUUCUAGAGGUUGAAGUGUUUCUUUGUGGCUGUCUGAAAUGUAUCAUGCUCACCAGUCUAUAGAAGAGUUCUUGGAAGAGCUCACCAGUUGCUCCUGCUAUAGGAAUAUCCACUAAACAAGAGGGAAAAAAAGCACAAAGCAAAGGAUGAUACCAAAAUUUCCUUUUUUUUUUUUUUCAUUUGGUUGAAGGCACAAAACUUCCUUCACUGUGAAGUGCAGCCUCCAAGCAGUGAUGUAACAGAGAAGAUGAUGUGUUCAUGGUGGUAACCACACAACUCAACUGAUGAAAUCAAGAUGGUCUUUGGUACAGGAGUCUUUGCAGUCCCAUCUCUUUGAGUGCAGUCCUCAAAAUGUGGUAAAAAAGAAUUGCAUUGAUCACAUUUCUCACAAUACAUCUAAGAGAAAACAUGCGAAGGAUGAGAAACAUUUAACACCCUCUGGCCCUCCCAUUCUGCAUUUCGGAUGACUGACAUUGUCUCCAGCCUCCUCUCAGCACAAUGAACAUCCCGGUGACUAAUCCAUGUGCCACAUCUGUUGCUGUGAUCAGAGGAGACAGGACCAGGACACAGAAGAAUAUCCGCCUAUUAGUUGUACAGAGCGGCACAAGGCUUCGUUAUGUCAGACACCAGGGAAUACCUAACCUGAACUCUAUAUGGACCACCCGCUCAGAAAGUUUCAUGGACAUCACCAGUGGAAGAAACUCCCUGGUUGUGCAGCGCAUUGAGAGACACGAGCCACGAAGCAGCAAUGGGGGCUUUUGGGCUGAUUCCUGCAGAGCAUCCUGCUUUCCAUCACUCAAAUAAUGAUAGAACUCGGGUCCACCUGGUUCAUUCUGUGGGUCAGUUCCCUCCCUGGCCCCUGGUGCCAAUCUCAUGCCUGUCCCAUGGGGCCGAGUGAUGUACAGGGGGGGUCACAGGCAGAGGUUUGCUCCUGCAAGGGCACCUCUAGCCCAGAACACAGCGGGGAGGGCGACUGGAACAGGCCGGGGGCAGCCUCACGUCAGAGCUGUGCCACCAGACACUGAGCCAUGGACUCACCUUCACAGAACCAACGGGCUUCCCACCAUAACGAGGAUAAUGCAGGAAGACAGCAGGCUGCAGGUACCAAAGGCAACCACCUGCUCCUGCCCAUCCACUGGACUUGACUGCCUGCCAUGCUUUUUGGUCAUCCACCUGCCAGCAGUUUUCUUGAAGGCUGAAGAAACCAGAGUCCUCCCAGAAGCAGAAGAAAGCCUCACCAUACUAUUUUCUGUGGUUCAUCCUGUGUCCUUGAUGGCCAGACUUUCUGGCUGCUGCCUUUGUCCAGGAAAUUGGGAGCCUUUUCCUCAUACACUUGGGCUCAGACUUGAUUUAAAGCACUGCUAGGCUUCUUAGAUCUAUUUUGUCUUAGCCUGUUCAGACAAGCCUGCAGGCAGAUCCCAUUAGCACCUCCUCUUCCCCCCACCUUGGAGAAGUCCCUUUGCGUGACCCGGAGGGCGAUGAGCAGCUGGAAGUGUAAACUCAGAGACAAGCAGCGCCUGCCGCGGUGAGCACACGUGCAGCCACCAACUAAUUCACCCACUGAGGCUGUGCAGAUACCUCCUUCAGAAAUAAGAAGCAGAAGGAAAACAUCCAAGCAGAAGAAUCAGAAGGCAAAGAAAUGGAUGGGGAUUGCAAGUGAAAAAUUAAUGAGGAGAGACCUCAUUUCACAAAGCUUACAUAAAGCCGGGCUGCAUCUGUGCACGGAACGGUGACCCAGAAAGAGAAAUCUGUAAAAAUUUAGAGCAAGGUGCAAAACUCGGUAGCCUCUUGCCCUCUGAGAAGCACCUACAUUCACAAACAAGGCUCCCUUGUUUACAGCCACUGCGAGCUCAUCUUUGAAAUUUCCAACUCAUUCACACUCCCCUCCAGCAGGUCCCGGCUCGGGGAGCAGCAGGGAGGUCUCAGAGCUCCUAGAGAAGGUCACCACUGAUGGCAAGUCCAGAGAAACCAUGAUGUGGGAUCAGCAUGGCUCAUCUCACAUUUAUUUGGGAAUAUCAAACCUCCGUAUGCAGCCAUUUUUUUUCUAUCCAUCCAUAUAUACGUAUAAAUGUUACAUAUAUAUAUAUGUAUAUAUAUAUAAAUAAAAGCAUUUAGCUUCUGGCCAAGAUUAAACCUUUUGUAACACCAUUGCUGUCCAUCCGGCUGCCUGACAAGACUUCCUUUUCUGGAAACCUUGGGAUUGUUCCCGGUGUAGGCAAGCAGGUAAAAAUCCGUGUUUGUGGGUGCAGCAGAAGUCUGCAGGAAGUCAUUCUUCCUGAAAAAGAAUAUUUAUAUAUAUAUAUAAAUGGCACCUGGAUAGUACUUAAAGGAUGGGGAAUAUUUCUCAUUAUUUUACAGUUCAAACCCUCAAUUAAUGGGCAUCUCCUUUCAUAGCUGAUCCCAGAAGAAAAAGGCUUUUAGUACCUUGUGUGACAGGGCUAAGAUUCUCACCCCAAAGGCUCACUGCUUAAUACCUGAAAAGAGAACUCUUCAGUUUGCCGGGAGGAGAGAGGAGCAUCCGCAGGAGUGCCAAAGCAGCACGAUAGUUUGAAUUACACCCCUUGCUCAGUCGCCUGUUGCCCAGAGAGGAAACUCCGAGGAGAAUGAUUUAAAAUGAAAACUUUUGUCUUCUAUAUUAAGAACAUCUCAGAUAAUACUGAACAGCUCACUCUGCUGUUAAUGGGUCUCCAGGUAUUAACAGAGUACUUCUGUCUCCUACUAAUUUCUCCUGCCAAGCUUUGCCUUACAGUUUGAAUAAAGGGCUCAAGGCAUCAUGCAUCUGCUAUAGAAUUGCAUGCAUAAGUAGCAUCAUUCAUUAGCAGACAGUCCAAUUCGAUUGUUUCCAAACCAGAAAGGACAGUUGUCAGCCGCCUCCCAGAAUGGAUUCAAAGGCUAUAAUCAAGAAGUCUUCUCCAAGAAGUUGUUCAAAGCUGGAGCUUAUCACUCUUCAAAAGACUGUGAAGACAAUAAACUACUCAAUUUACUCUAAUGAACAGGUGCAAUCUCAGUAUUUAGUGUCUCAUUAAUAUUGACUGGCAAGACUUAAAGGAAUUUGAAUGCCAUGGAUGUCAGCUGCUACACUGGCAAGGCAUGAAACAGUGAUGAUAAAUAUUUGUACUUCCACAAGAGGCUAAUUCCAGUUUAUUUUCCAAGGUGUUAACUAUUGAAAUAAAUGAAGUUUAAAACUUGCACGUGGUGAAUCUGUUCAGAUUUCCCUUUGAAACAAUCACUGUUAGUUCUCAUAAGGUUGCAAGGAGCCACCGUACAAUA